UACGGGGGGGGCAAGCGUUGUUCGGAAUUACUGGGCGUAAAGGGCUCGUAGGCGGCCAACUAAGUCGGAUGUGAAAUCCCCAGGCUUAACCUGGGAACUGCAUCCGAUACUGGAUGGCUUGAAUCCGGGAGAGGGAUGCAGAAUUCCAGGUGUAGCGGUGAAAUGCGUAGAUAUCUGGAGGAAUACCAAUGGCGAAGGCAGCACUCUGGGACGUGACUGACGCUGAGACACGAAAGCGUGGGUAGCAAACAGG
rnacentral:rRNA from 1 species